rnacentral:lncRNA from 1 species
CGAACCACCUCAGCGGAGCCUCUUUCUCCGGAACACCCCUCCUUGGGGCCCCGCCGAAAGUUUGGCUCUAGGGAAGGGUGACACCCCCCACCCCAGCAUCAUGCAUCGGACCACACGGAUCAAAAUUACCGAGCUGAACCCUCACCUCAUGUGCGCCCUCUGUGGGGGGUACUUCAUAGAUGCCACUACCAUCGUGGAGUGCUUGCAUUCCUUCUGCAAAACCUGCAUCGUGCGCUACCUGGAGACCAACAAGUACUGCCCCAUGUGCGAUGUGCAGGUCCAUAAAACCCGGCCGCUGCUGAGCAUCAGAUCUGACAAAACCCUUCAAGACAUUGUCUACAAAUUGGUCCCUGGGCUUUUUAAAGAUGAGAUGAAACGGCGGCGGGAUUUCUAUGCAGCCUACCCCCUGACAGAAGUCCCCAACGGCUCCAACGAGGACCGUGGUGAGGUUCUGGAGCAGGAGAAGGGAGCUCUGAGCGACGACGAGAUCGUCAGCCUCUCCAUCGAGUUCUACGAAGGUGUCAGAGACCGGGAAGAGAAGAAGGGCCCCUUGGAAAAUGGGGAUGGUGACAAGGAGAAGACAGGUGUGCGCUUCCUGCGGUGCCCAGCAGCCAUGACUGUCAUGCAUCUUGCCAAGUUUCUCCGCAACAAGAUGGACGUGCCCAGCAAGUACAAGGUCGAGGUUCUCUAUGAGGACGAGCCGCUGAAGGAAUACUAUACCCUCAUGGACAUCGCCUACAUCUACCCCUGGCGGCGGAAUGGCCCUCUCCCCCUCAAGUAUCGCGUCCAGCCAGCCUGCAAGCGACUCACCUUGCCCACAGCACCCACCCCCUCCGAGGGCACCAAUACCAGCGGGGCAUCCGAGUGUGAGUCAGUCAGUGACAAGGCUCCCAGCCCUGCCACCCUGCCAGCCACCUCCUCUUCCCUACCCAGCCCAGCCACCCCCUCCCAUGGCUCUCCCAGCUCUCAUGGCCCCUCGGCCCCCCACCCCACCUCCCCCACUCCCCCUGUGACAGCCGGUGGGGCCAGUGCCGCUGCCAACGGGGGCGCCUCAAACUGCCUGCAGACACCAUCCUCCACCAGCAGGGGGCGCAAGAUGACUGUCAACGGAGCUCCUGUGCCCCCCUUAACUUGAGGAAAGGGACCCUCUCCCUCCUUUUCCAGCCAUGCCUCUCCACCCCUCCACUUUUUCUGGGCCCCGUUUUUCCACCUCUUCUAUUUUCCCCAGCUCCUCCCACCUUAGGGGUGGGGGAUGGGUUUUAUAAAUAAAUCUAUAUAUAUAUGUACAUAGGAAAAACCAAAUUAUACAUACU